GAUGAACGCUAGCGGCAGGCUUAAUACAUGCAAGUCGUGGGGCAGCAUGAAGUAGCAAUACUUUGAUGGCGACCGGCAAACGGGUGCGGAACACGUACACAACCUUCCUUUUAGUGGGGAAUAGCCCAGAGAAAUUUGGAUUAAUACCCCGUAACAUAGCGAUGAGGCAUCUCAUUGCUAUUAUAGCUUCGGCGCUAGAUGAUGGGUGUGCGUAUGAUUAAAUAGUUGGCGAGGUAACGGCUCACCAAGUCUACGAUCAUUAGCUGAUGUGAGAGCAUGAUCAGCCACACGGGCACUGAGACACGGGCCCGACUCCUACGGGAGGCAGCAGUAAGGAAUAUUGGUCAAUGGACGAAAGUCUGAACCAGCCAUGCCGCGUGAAGGAUUAAGGUCCUCUGGAUUGUAAACUUCUUUUAUAUGGGACGAAAAAAGGUCUUUCUAGAUCACUUGACGGUACCAUAUGAAUAAGCACCGGCUAACUCCGUGCCAGCCGCCGCGGUAAAAC
rnacentral:rRNA from 1 species